AUGAAUGCUAUGAGUUGGAACUGCCGAGGGCUUGGGAAUCCUGCGACAGUUCGUGAGCUUCGCAAGUUGGUGAAGCAAGAAGGCCCCACCCUGUUAUUCGUCAUGGAAAUGAAGAUCAGGGGGUAACGAGUAGAAGAUCUGAAAACUACUUUAGGAUUUCAUGGUUGUUUUGCCGUCGAUAGUGACGGGCUUAGUGGAGGUAUCGGUCUUUUUUGUUCAAAGGAGGUCGAUGUUAGUUUGGAGAAUUACAGUAAAUCUCAUAUUGAUGUGAAGGUCACUCAGAAUGAUAAAAGUUGGCAUUUCACUGGUUUUUACGGUGAGCUUCGUGUGGAGAAUCGACACCACAGCUGGCGGUUCCUCCGUACUCUUUUCGCUAUCCAGCAUGGGGUGUGGUUGUGUAUGGGGGAUUUUAACAAAACCUUGCAUGUGGAUGAACACUUUAGUGUGAAUGCAAGAUCGGAAGGACAAAUGCGCGCUUUCCGUGAUGCAAUUUCAGAUUGCGCACUCCAGGAUCUGGGGUGGCGCGGCGUACCCUUCACAUUGGAUAACGAACAGCAAGGCAGCUCGAAUGUUAAAGCACGGGUUCAUAGAGCUUUCGCCAACGCCGACUUCCUUCAGCUGUUUGAGCUCACCAAUGUUAAACAUGUGAGCAGCAUAGAGUCGGAUCACUGCUUUGUUCUGGCUGAAUGUCGUCCUUAG
rnacentral:rRNA from 1 species